CUGGAGUGUAGUGUAGUGGGUGCCC
rnacentral:piRNA from 1 species